rnacentral:rRNA from 1 species
ACUCUCGGCAACGGAUAUCUCAGCUCCCGCAUCGAUGAAGAACGUAGCGAAAUGCGAUACUUGGUGUGAAUUGCAGAAUCUCGUGAACCAUCGAGUUUUUGAACGCAAGUUACGCACGAAGCCACUGGGCCGAGGGCAUGCCUGCCUGCGUGUCAAGCAUCGCGUCGCCCCCUCCUUGCGCCUAAAUGCACGGUGGGGGCAGAGAGUGGUCCCCCAUGCACGGCGCCGCGUGGUCGGCCCAAAUGUGAUCCCCCGGCGAUGCAUGUCACGACAAGUAGUGGUUGAACCCUCAACGUGUGCUAUCAUACACCAUCGCAUCGGGACGCACGAUUAGACCCAACAUCACGUGCGAGCACGUCAUCUUCGACCGCGACCCCAGGUCAGGCGGGAUCACCCGCUGAGUUUAUGCAUAUCAAUAAGUGGAGGAAAAGAAACUUACAAGGAUUCCUCUAGUAACGGCGAGCUAACCGAGAAUAGCCCAACUUGAGAAUCGGGCGGCCUCAGCGGUAGACCGGGGUCGAGUCCCCUGGAAUGGGGCGCCAUAAAGGGUGAGAGCCCCAUUGCUCUCGGACCCUAUCGCACCACGAGGUGCUGUUGGCGAGUCAGGUUGUUUGGGAAUGCAGCCCCAAUCGGGCGGUAAAUUCUUUCCAAGGCUAAAUACAGGCGAGAGACCGAUAGCGAACAAGUACCGCGUGGGAAAGAUGAAAAGGACUUUGAAAAGAGAGUCAAAGAGUGCUUGAAAUUAUUAGGAGGGAAGCGGAUGGGGGCCGGCGAUGCAUCCCGGUCGGAUGUGGAACGGCAAGAGCCGGUCCGCCGAUCGACUCAGGGCGUGGACCAGCACGGAUAGAGCGCGCCUCGUGCGUGCCUUGGCAACUACGCAUUCUCGGUGCUAGCCUGCGGGCACCUCAUUCGACCCAUCUUGAAACACGGACUAAGAAGUCUGACAUGUGCGCAAGUCAAUGGGCGUUUAAACCCGUAAGGCGCAAGGAAGCUGACCGGCGUGAUCCCCCCGAGGGGUGCACCACCGACCGACCUUGAUCUUCUGAGAAGGGUUCGAGUGAGCGUACCUGUCAGGACCCGAAAGAUGGUGAACUAUGCCUGAGCGGGGCGAAGCCAGAGGAAACUCUGGUGGAGGCCCGCAGCUAUACUGACGUGCAAAUCAUUCGUCUGACUUGGGUAAAUGGGCGAAAGACUAAUCAAACCGUCUAGUAGCUGGUUCCCUCCAAAGUUUCCCUCAGGAUAGCUGGAGCUCUAGUGCGAGUUCUAUCGGGUAAAGCCAAUUAUUAGAGGCAUCAGGGGCGCAACACCCUCGACCAAUUUUCAAACUUUAAAUAAGUAGGACGGCGCGGCUGCUCUGUUGAGCUGCGCUGGAGAAUCGUGAGCUCCAAGUGGGUCAUUUUUGGAAAGCAGAACUGGCGAUGCGAGAUGAACCAGAAGCCAGGUUACGGUGCCCAACUGCGCGCUAACCUAGAUCCCACAAAGGGUGUUAGUCGAUUAAGACAGCAGGACAGUGGUAAUGGAAGUCGAAAUCCACUAAGGAGCGUGUAACAACUCACCUGCCGAAUCAACUAGCCCCGAAAAUGGAUGGUGCUGAAGCGCGUGACCUAUACCCGGCCGUCGGGGCAAGGGCUAGGCCCCGAUGAGUAUGAGGGCGCGGCGGUUGCUGUAAAACCCUGGGCGCGAGCCCGGGAGAGCAACCGUCGGUGCGGAUCUUGGUGGUAGUAGCAAAUAUUCAAAUGAGAACUUUGAAGGCCGAAGAGGGGAAAGGUUCCAUGUGAACGGUGCGUGCUCCGAAAGGGAAUCGGGUUAAAAUUCCCGAACCAGGACGCGAUGAUUGAUGGCAACAUUUGGGAGUCCGGAGAUGUCAGCGGGGGCCCCGGGAAGAGUUAUCUUUUCUGUUUAACAGCCCGCCCACCUUGGAAACAGCUCAGCCGGAGGUAGGGUCCAGCAGCUGGAAGAGCACCGCACGUCGUCUGGUGUCCGGUGCGCCCCAGGCGGCCCUUGAAAAUCCAGAGGACCGAGAACCAUCCGCACCCGGUCGUACUCAUAACCGCAUCAGGUCUCCAUGGUGAACAAUCUCUGGUCGAUGGAACAAUGUAGGUAAGGGAAGUCGGCAAAAUGGAUCUAUAACCUCGGGAAAAGGAUUAGCUCUGAGGGCUGGGCAUGGGGGUCCCAGUAUCGAACCCCUCGGCUGUUGGCGAAUUGCUCUAGCUGCUCGCGCGGUGAGAGCAGGUCGUCGCGUGCCGGCCGGGGGACGGACUGGGAACGGCUCCCUCGGGCAAGGGGAAUCCGACUGUUUAAUUAAAACAAAGCAUUGCGAUGGUCCUGCGGAUGCUCACGCAAUGUGAUAUCUGCCCAGUGCUCUGAAUGUCAAAGUGAAGAAAUUCAACCAAGCGCGUGUGAACGGCGGGAGUAACUAUGACUCUCUUAAGGUAGCCAAAUGCCUCAUCAUCUAAUUAGUGAUGCGCAUGAAUGGAUUAACUAGAUUCCCACUGUCCCUGUCUACUAUCUAGCCAAACCACAGCCAAGGGAACAGGCUUGGCGGAAUCAGCGGGGAAAGAAGACCCUGUUGAGAUUGACUCUAGUUUGACUUUGUGAAAUGACUUGAGAGGUGUAAGAUAAGUGGGAGCCGAAAGGCAAAAGUGAAAUACCACUACUUUUAAUGUUAUUUUACUUAUUCCGUGAAUCGGAGGCAGGGCAUCGCCCCUCU